UACGUAGGGUGCAAGCGUUGUCCGGAAUUAUUGGGCGUAAAGAGCUCGUAGGCGGUCUGUCACGUCGGAUGUGAAAACUCGGGGCUCAACCCCGAGCCUGCAUUCGAUACGGGCAGACUUGAGUUCGGCAGGGGAGACUGGAAUUCCUGGUGUAGCGGUGAAAUGCGCAGAUAUUAGGAGGAACACCGGUGGCGAAGGCGCCACUCUGGGCCGAAACUGACGCUGAGGAGCGAAGGCAUGGGUAGCAAACAGG
rnacentral:rRNA from 1 species